UGUGUUUAGACGCAGGCUUGUCCUUAG
rnacentral:sRNA from 1 species